AAGACUUUAAGUUAAAAUUAAACUGUUAACCUUCAAAGUUAAAAAUAUCUAAGGCAAGGUAAGUCUUA
rnacentral:tRNA from 1 species